GGUGUUAUGCCAGAUAAAUUGGGUUAUCUUGAUGAGGUAAAAUAUGGGAGCUAUUCCUUAACACUA